rnacentral:rRNA from 1 species
GACGAACGCUUGCGGCGUGCCUAAGAAAUGCAAGUCGAACGGGGGCUUCGGCCCCAGUGGCGAACGGUCGCGUAACACGUAAGCAACCUGCCCUGAAGUGGGGGACAACAUCCCGAAAGGGGUGCUAAUACCGCAUGUGGUCACGAGUCGGCAUCGACUUGUGUCUAAAGAUUUAUCGCUUCAGGAUGGGCUUGCGGCCUAUCAGGUAGUUGGUGGGGUAAUGGCCUACCAAGCCGACGACGGGUAGCUGGUCUGAGAGGACGAUCAGCCGGAUUGGGACUGAGAUACGGCCCAGACUCCUACGGGGGGCAGCAAUUAGGAAUCUUGCGCAAUGGGGGAAACCCUGACGCAGCGACGUCGCGUGAAGGAUGAAGGCCCUCGGGUCGUAAACUUCUUUUGAGUGGGAAGAAAUUUGACGGUACCACUCGAAUAAGCCCCGGCUAACUACGUGCC